rnacentral:tRNA from 1 species
UCCCUGGUGGCUCAGAUGGUAAAAGCGCCUGUUUGCAAUGCAGGAAACCCAGGUUUGAUCCCCGGGUUGGGAA